GUUGGACUGGUACUUCCCACACCGUAAAAUCCAUGCUACAGACGCAGAAUCAUUUUAUCUAUAUAUUAUAGGAAUCCAAUUGGAAAGUCUGAAAGUGCCUGACGACCCGUUUAAAGGAUCCAACGUUACUUUAAUUUGUAGAACUACCUACAUACCUUUUUUCUUUGCCUCUCCCCACCUGGUCCUAUCAGAUAAACACAAACGGAGAAAUGCGAAAAUUUAACGAGUCUUAUCUACCUCAAGGUUUGGCGGAACUGUUUCAAUAGAAAUAAGUUGCAACUGUUUGACUUAAAUCUAACUUCUCCAUACACAUACUUACUAUGCAACAGAGAUAACGAAUCAAAAGAGAUUUCAAUUACAAUAAAAGAAAUCACUUAUGAACCAUUGAAUAAUACUGUGAAGUUAGAAAAAAGAAUUGCACACAACUUGACUUGUAACCGAUUAUCAAAAAAUGUUGUCAUACAAUGGCUCAAAGAUGGCAAGGGAUAUUAUGACAUAGUCUACGAGAAUAAUACCGUAUCCGUUUUCCAACUACAAGGAAAUUCUAACGAAAAGGGAACAUACGAAUAUCGAUGGAACAACAGCCGAGAAAAAGGUGGAAAGAGAACUUGAAAAAAUGCUGAAUGGAGAUCCAAAUAGAAUGGACCCAGGAGUGCCAGUGGAAUACCACACGGAAUUCCUGGCCUACAAAAAGAAAUGGGAAUUUCCAAGGAAAAGACUAAUGCUCGGUCAAGAACUCUGUACCGGUUGCUUUGGUCGAGUUGUCAGAGCAGAGGCCGUGGGCAUCAAAAAUUAUGACACAACUGUCACAACAAGAGCAGUUAAAAUGAUUAAAUCACAAAAAAUUUUCACAGCGCAUUUGACGCUCUUAUAAGAGAAUUAAAAAUUCUAAUUUAUUUAGGACCGCACUUAAAUGUUGUCAAUUUAUUGGGCGCUUGCACUAAAACUAACCUCAAAGAAGAAGUUCUGGUUAUAAUUGAUUUCUGCCGAUUCGGUAACUUACAGUCGUACUUAAUUAAAAAUAGGGACAAUUUCAUCAACCAAUGAACUGUAAUUACCAAUAUUAAACCUGACAGCAUAAUGGUGAAAAUCGCAACAUCCGCAAAUCAAUCAGAUGCAAAUGAAUUAGCGAAAGACUAUCGAGACGGAGAAACGAACUUAACCCUCAAAGUUUCGGAAUUUUCUAGGCACGCAAAUAAGCCAAGCCAGCACUGGAUACUAACAAUAUGACAUUACCAGAACAGACCUGUAAAAACGGAGAAGAUUCUGACGAAACUUUGAAUCAAAUGACAAAAACGACCGAUUUGAUCUCAUGGUCAUUACAAAUUGCCCGUGGGAUCGACUUCUUGGCCAGUAAAAAGGUUCUUCACGGGGAUUUGGCCGCUCGCAAUGUCCUUUUAGCAGAUCAUGGAGUCCUCAAAGUUUCUGAUUUCGGAAUGGCGAGACGAAUUAAAGAAUACGAUUACCAGAAAAAGGAGACGAGCUAUUGCCAGUCAAGUGGAUGGCCAUCGAAUCCCUAACGGAUAAAAUUUUUUCAAGCCAAUCGGAUGUCUGGUCCUAUGGGAUUGUUUUGUGGGAAAUAUUUUCCCUUGGUAAAGUUCCAUAUCCAGGAAUGGAGAGUGGUUGGGCACUUGUGAGAGAAAUUAUAAACGGACACCGAAUGAGAAAUCCGGAAUUUUUUACCAAAUUCUUGAGAGAAAUUAUAACAAAAUGUUGGCAAACAGAUCCAAAAGAAAGACCCACCUUGUUAAAACUGACACAAAUUUUUGAAAAAUUCAUGGAAUCACUUGUCAGCUUUGAUUAUUUGAAUAUGAAUAGCUCAGCAAGUGAAAAUAUUCAAUAAGAGUAGAGGAGAGCUGGAUUGAACCGGACACGGGUUUGGCCGGACAAAUUG
rnacentral:misc_RNA from 1 species